UCUUCAUUCCAUCCAAGUUGAAAGGAAUACAUGUUCUUGGAAGACGUCACGGGAGUCGAUCUCACCCUCAAACAUUUAGUCUCCGCGUCG
rnacentral:ribozyme from 1 species